rnacentral:lncRNA from 1 species
GUCUUGUGGAUAGCUAUUUUGUGAUGUUGUGUAUGUGUUGAGGUGCACUAUGAUUUCAUGUGGUGUUAGUACUAAAUGUAGUGGGCUUGUCAUGUUAGCAACCUCUCUCUCUCUUUUAUUUUCCAAGCCAAUAUUCACUUGUCCCAACCUUGAUCCAAAAAUGCCCAUGUAUUAGUGUAUUUUGUGAAGGAUGCCAAUAUGUGUUUUUGCUGUUUUGUAUCUUAGUUUUAAGGGUGCAAAUAAAUCCAAAACAGUAAAUAAAUUGCUGUUUUGCAUUUCUUCAAAUUGCUCCAAAUAAUUAUUUUCUAUUUUAUUCAAAUAGGUCAUAAUUCCUUAUGACCAGGGGCAUUUUGUUUUGUUUUUAACCCCAACAGUAUUGCCAUUUGUUUUAAAUCCUUUCUAUGUUUGUUUAAAUAAAUAAAACCCCCCUCAGGGCCCCCUCCUCUAUCUGUCGCCAGUGGCACCGCUUCCGCAUGGCCUAGAUCAAUAGUCCCCUCGCUCACGCGCGCGGUGCUUCUUCCUCCUCCCUUUCCAGCGAGGCAGGCGGCCCCACCAGUCAUCCUC